rnacentral:rRNA from 1 species
AGCUCCAAUGUCGUAUAUUAAAGUUGCUGCAGUUCAAAAGCUCGUAGUUGGAUUUGUGGCGCGGCCGUCCGGCGGGGCUCCUUCAUUGGGGCCGUUUGUCUGGUUUUUCGGCCGCCCCAUUCUCGGGUAGUGUGUCGCUGGCAUUAGAUUGUUGGCUUCUUCACGCCCGUCGUUUACUGUGAAAAAAUUAGAGUGUUCAAAGCAGGCUUAGGCCGUUGGAUACAUUAGCAUGGAAUAAUGAGAUAGGGCCACGACGGUCUAUUUUGUUGGUUUGCACGUUGUGGUAAUGAUUAACAGGAACGGUUGGGGGUAUUCGUAUUCAAUUGUCAGAGGUGAAAUUCUUGGAUUUAUGGAAGACGAACUACUGCGACAGCAUUUACCAAGGAUGUGU